AUUGAACGCUGGCGGCAUGCUUUACACAUGCAAGUCGAACGGCAGCGCGGGGCAACCUGGCGGCGAGUGGCGAACGGGUGAGUAAUACAUCGUAACGUACCCAGAAGUGGGUGAUAACGUAGCGAAAGUUACGCUAAUACCGCAUACGAUCUACGGAAGAAAGUGGGGGAUUGGAGGACCUAAUCCUUUUUGUGUGGCCGAUGUCUGAUUAGCUAGUUGGUGAGGUAAAGGCACACUCAGGAGACGAUCAGUAGCAGGUCUGAAAGGACGACCAGCCACACUGGGACUGAGACACGGCCCAGACUCCUACGGGAGGCAGCAGUGGGGAAUUUUGGACAAUGGGCGCAAGCCUGAUCCAGCAAUGCCGCGUGAGUGAAGAAGGCCUUCGGGUUGUAAAGCUCUUUUGUCAGGGAAGAAACGGCUGAGGUUAAUACCUUUGGCUAAUGACGGUACCUGAAGAAUAAGCACCGGCUAACUACGUGCCAGCCGCCGCCGUAA
rnacentral:rRNA from 1 species